AAGUGAUUCUUCCAAGGCCAAACUAGAGGCACAGAGCUGGAAAAACUUCAUCCCCACUCAGCACAUACUAGGGAGGUAACUUGCCAGCUUUGCUUUGGGUCAUAGUUCUUACAGCUAACUUAUGUGUUCCAGAAAAUUUACCGAGAAAUCGACGUUGACAGGUCUGGUACCAUGAAUUCCUAUGAAAUGCGGAAGGCGUUAGAAGAAGCAGGUUUCAAGAUGCCCUGUCAACUCCACCAAGUCAUCGUUGCUCGGUUUGCAGAUGACCAGCUCAUCAUCGAUUUUGAUAAUUUUGUUCGGUGUUUGGUUCGGCUGGAAACGCUAUUCAAGAUAUUUAAGCAGCUGGAUCCCGAGAAUACUGGAACAAUAGAGCUCGACCUUAUCUCUGUGAGUCAGCAGCUCGUGCCCCCGCCUUGCUUCUAAGGGGAUGGGGGAGGCAUGGGGCGGAAAGGGCUGUUACUUGAGUGAUCUGCUUUUUCAAGUUUUGCUUUAAAGAGCUCUUGGUCUGUCGGGGCCAGGCCUGUAACCGGUUGUAAGAUCCCACAAUGCACUUUUACUUGCAGUUGUUUUCCAACCACCUAUUCUCAAGUCCAAAAUGCACGCCUGGCUCCCUCUUCCCAUGAGCUUUGACUUGAGUGUAGCUCAAGGUUAAACUAAGGAGUGGCUGCAGGAUCAUGCUUAGAAAAAUGAACUCCUGAUUAGCAUGCAAGGGAGAACAUGUUUAUAUAAAGAAAUCCUUCAGCUGAAAUUCAAGUUGGGUUUUGGGAAGAUCCAUCAUUCUUAGAAGGGAUCUACUUAAAAUACUUUAAGCAAAUUAGUUUUCUCUACUCCCUCCCCGUUUAAGAUAAAACCAAUACUAGUAAAUACGUUUGCCAUUUUUUAUUAUUAUUGCACUCAUGUGUCUGGAACCCUAGCAAUACACAUCUCUGAAAUGAUCAUCAAUCUGAAUUAAGUGGGUAUGCUAAUUUCACAAAAAGCAAAGCGUAAAAUGUUCUCGUGUCAUCCCAAUGACAGGAAGUUCUCUCACUGAAAGAAAGAAGCCAGGUGGGGUAUACUUCCAUUAUCACCUGGCUCCAGUCAGCAUUUCCUCUAUACUCAGGGAAGGCCACAGAGGGCUGGGCGAAGUGGCUGACACUGGGUGAGAAUGGCAGUUGUCAGUCCUGUCCGUGUAACAGAGGAGCGAAGUGGUGAGGAGGGCAGGUCUAAGGCACUGGCAGCUCUUUUCCGUGGAUUUUGAACUCUGGAGGAAGGCAGCAACUAAAUAACUGUCUCAUUCUGCUAUUAUGCAUUGUAUUAGCAAAGUGAAAAUAUAGUCUAUCUGGUUACAAAUAACACUAACUUGCUUAAAACUUUACAUAUCCUAGGAAAUAUCUCUACCCCUAGAUUGCAAUGUAGAGUCAACCCCAUCUCU
rnacentral:sRNA from 1 species